GAUGAACGCUAGCUACAGGCUUAACACAUGCAAGUCGAGGGGCAGCGGGAUUGAAGCUUGCUUCAAUUGCCGGCGACCGGCGCACGGGUGAGUAACGCGUAUCCAACCUUCCGCAUACUCGGGGAUAGCCUUCUGAAAAGGAGAUUAAUACCCGAUGGUAUCAAGAGUUUGCAUGAAAGCUUGAUUAAAGAAUUUCGGUAUGCGAUGGGGAUGCGUUCCAUUAGAUAGUAGGCGGGGUAACGGCCCACCUAGUCAACGAUGGAUAGGGGUUCUGAGAGGAAGGUCCCCCACAUUGGAACUGAGACACGGUCCAAACUCCUACGGGAGGCAGCAGUGAGGAAUAUUGGUCAAUGGACGAGAGUCUGAACCAGCCAAGUAGCGUGAAGGAUGAAGGUUCUAUGGAUUGUAAACUUCUUUUAUAAGGGAAUAAAACGUCCUACGUGUAGGAUCUUGUAUGUACCUUAUGAAUAAGCAUCGGCUAACUCCGUGCCAGCCGCCGCGGUAAAAC
rnacentral:rRNA from 1 species